rnacentral:lncRNA from 1 species
CAAAACAUGAAAUUGCAUCCAUACAUAUGUACAAUUACAACGUGUCAAUUAAAAAAUUUAAAAAAUCGAUAUCUCUCAUGGAAGUCCAAGUCGUUUACUGAUACUGGUUCUGAAUUUGUCCAGAUGCAUUAAAUACUUGAUUGAUAUUAAUAUCAAUAUUAGACUCAGAAUGGGCUGCUAACGAGCCAAGAACUAAGGAAUUUAGUUCUUGUCAUUCAGGUGCACUGGGGGAGAAAAAAAGCAAUGCAAUUGGAGUCAGUCCCUGAAAUACAACCACUUGAAGAAUGCACUGUCACAGGGGACAGCAGGGCCAAUACUUGUGUCCUGUGAACUUGAGAGGCCAUGCUCUGCUUUGACCUCUCCCAACCUGUUUGCCUCUGGCUGCACCACUGUGCUCUCUUCCCAGCUCUCUCUGGCGUUGCCACUGUUGGCUGCCUCCUGCUGUGGCCCGAGCCAUGCUGGCCUUGGUCCACUGGUUUAGUUGUGACCCUGUGCCUCAUGGCCCUGGCUCACUUGCUCAGCCUCUUAUCCUCCUGGACUCUCUUGGGAAUAAGAACAGAGGAAUACUAAAAUACUGAGGACAAG